rnacentral:rRNA from 1 species
UGACGCAGCGACGCCGCGUGGGGGAGGAAGGCCUUAGGGUUGUAAACCCCUGUCAGGUGGGACGAACCCCGGGUCGGCGAAUAAUCGGCUCGACUGACGGUACCACCAGAGGAAGCUCCGGCUAACUCCGUGCCAGCAGCCGCGGUAAUACGGAGGGAGCGAGCGUUGUUCGGAAUCACUGGGCGUAAAGGGCGCGUAGGCGGCCGAGUAAGUCGUGUGUGAAAGACCGGGGCUCAACUCCGGUAUUGCAUGCGAUACUGCCCGGCUAGAGAAAGGUAGAGGCGAGUGGAAUUCCCGGUGUAGCGGUGGAAUGCGUAGAUAUCGGGAAGAACACCUGUGGCGAAGGCGGCUCGCUGGGCCUUUUCUGACGCUGAAGUGCGAAAGCGUGGGGAGCAAACAGGAUUAGAUACCCUGGUAGUCCACGCCGUAAACGAUGGGCACUAGGCGUUGGGAGGAUUGACCCUCUCAGUGCCGUAGCUAACGCGUUAAGUGCCCCGCCUGGGGAGUACGGA